UGCAUCGGCCGGGAAUCGAACCCAGGCCGCCCGCGUGGCAGGCGAGCAUUCUACCACAGAACCACCGAUGC
rnacentral:tRNA from 1 species